UACGUAGGGUGCGAGCGUUAAUCGGAUUUACUGGGCGUAAAGCGUGCGCAGGCGGCCCGUUAAGACAGGUGUGAAAUCCCUGGGCUCAACCUAGGAAUUGCGCUUGUGACUGGCGGGCUCGAGUACGGUAGAGGGGGGUGGAAUUCCUGGUGUAGCAGUGAAAUGCGUAGAGAUCAGGAGGAACACCGAUGGCGAAGGCAGCCCCCUGGGCCUGUACUGGCGCUCAUGCACGAAAGCGUGGGGAGCAAACAGG
rnacentral:rRNA from 1 species